rnacentral:rRNA from 1 species
GAUAAACGCUGGCGGCGCACAUAAGACAUGCAAGUCGAACGGACUUAACCAUUAGUUUACUAUUGGAGCGGUUAGUGGCGGACUGGUGAGUAACACGUAAGCAACCUGCCUAUCAGAGGGGAACAACAGUUAGAAAUGACUGCUAAUACCGCAUAAGACCACAGCACCGCAUGGUGCAGGGGUAAAAACUCCGGUGGUAUGAGAUGGAUCCGCGUCUGAUUAGCUAGUUGGUAAGGUAACGGCUUACCAAGGCGACGAUCGGUAGCCGACCUGAGAGGGUGAUCGGCCACAUUGGAACUGAGAGACGGUCCAA